UUGUCAUCACCUGGGCUUUAUGACUCUAGGUCAAGACAUCAGAGCACUAAAGCUUCUAAUGCAGUAGUAGUCAGGCUGGAAUCUGGGUGGCAUAUGUGACAAAGCAAGUGCACUAUGCAGGUGAGCUAUCUUGCCAGCCCUCGUGUUUUUGUUUGUUUAAGAUUUAUUAACAUGAGAGAACUAGAGCAUCACUAGCAUAGUGCUAUCCAAUUUGGGACCUCAUGCACCUAUGUCCAGUUCUCUACCCACUAUGCCACCCACAUCUUGGGCUGUAUCAUGUUUUUAUUUACUUGGCAGAGAUCUAGAGUUCCCCCAGCCACUCAGGUGAUUCCUAUACUUCUGGGAGCCAGGUUGUGCCUAACUUACACAUAUACACAGACCCCGUGCACACAUACCCCUCCUAAGGCAUGAAUGUUGCUGGGCCAGGGUCUGGGUGUGACCCUGGCAUUUGCUCUUGUGGGGCUUUCCCACCUCCAGGAAGUCUGUUGGUACAGGUUGUCUGGGCCUUCUAGACCAAAAGUCUGGGGAAAUCACCACACAGCCACAUGGUCUAGGCCAGGGCAGCCUGAACAGGAAGGGGGGGAUGCGGCCUUAGCCACAGGGCAGUGUGACUUCCCCCAGCUGCUUUGAGCUUGGUCAAGAUGGAGGCCAGACUGAAGAAAAUAUUUCCACAUGAUGUUGUAGCCCAGCUUCAGUCACCAGGUUCCAGAUGUCAUCAGGAUGCCGGCCAGGCUUCCCUGGACGGAAGAUCCCACCAAUGUGUCCUGGAGCUCAGCUUCCCCAGAGACCCACCCUACUAGGGAAAGAGAGAGGCAGACUGGGAGUAUGGACCGACCAGUCAACGUCCAUGUUCAGCGGGGAAGCAAUUACAGAAGCCAGACCUUCUACCUUCUGCAACCCACAAUGACCCUGAGUCCAUGCUCCCAGAGGGAUAGAGAAUGGGAAAGCUAUCAGGGGAGGGGGUGGGAUAUGGAGAUUCGGUGGUGGGAAUUGUGUGGAGUUGUACCCCUCCUACCCUAUGGUUUUGUUAAUCCUUUCUUAAAUAAAAAAGAAAAAAAAAUUUUGCAGGCAGAAACAUUUGGAGAGAGCUAUCCACAGAUGAAACCAGGUCAACUGAAGCCACUUUUCUACUUUAGCUUCAGAAUAAACCAGUGGAUUCUGGUUUUGUUUAA